rnacentral:pre_miRNA from 1 species
GCUAAAGCUGCGUCGUAGGUGAGUAAUCAGUUGUGGGUGGCUUUUUGAAAGCCCUCUCACAUCUCUUUAUUCACAGGCGGCGUGAGUUGCG